AACACACAGGUACUAACGCAGUACUGUUUCUGGCAUGUUCCGCAUCUCCCACUCUGCAGUCACUCCCUGCACUCUGGCUGCCAACAAAUUCCCUCCGCUCCAGCCUGUGGCUUCUGUGCCCUGCUCUUCCUGCGCCCUUCCUGCCCACGGCAGUGUGUCUGAGCAGGCUUUCUGUAUCUGCUGUUGAUACCAACUACCAAACACAAAGACAGAAAGUGAAAGCCACGAGAAGUCGGUCAACAUGGAGGUUGAAAGGGCUCCAGGAGGACCACAGUUAAAACAUGUAAGUCCAGAAGGUCCAGUUCAAGCUCCAGCAGCCUGCUGAGUGAGUGCUGGUCCAUAUUUAAUCCAGAUAUCCCUGCUGUGAGAAAAAUAUGUGACCCUGACCUUUAAGUGUGUCUAGACUAAAGGAUUGGGAUGGAAGGAGGGCAGAUGGAAGCAACGAUUAAAGUGUCUUCAGAAAAUAAGCAUGACUGAUCCGGAGCGAGCGGGCACUACUCCAUCGACAGAGUCUGUCACUAUGUCCCCAUAGUGCUCCCCAGCUCGAAGCCUCGGUCACUGUAUGCUGUUACUUCGAUGACUGAUUGCUGUUUGCUGUGAACCGAACAUCAAUAAAAUCUCAUCUGAGGACCAACAACCGACUACGUGGCUGCAUAACAGCACACAGUAGGGGUAGAAGCACGGCGACCCAUCAGAAGCCGCAAUGAACCGUCUCAGCCGCGACCAGUGCGCAAUGGUGUCUUGGUCUUGAGAGGCACUGGGGGAUUCUGGAAGAGUAAAGUGGACACCUGGGGAAAUUACCGAAGUCCUUAUGGAAGGGAGUAUUUUCUAUCUGCAGUUGCUUGAAUCUGCGGAUGUGGAAACCCAUGGAUACAGAGGUCAACUGUACUACGCGAUGCCUUGAAGAAAAUGCCUGCGUGUGAUGAAGGAGAAGAACCUUCAUCCCGGCAAGCGUGACACUGGAGCCAAGUGCCUGGAAGAAGCACUGAGCCCGGCCAGAGUCUUGCAUCAGUAGCCCAGACACAGAAAGCAAGGCACCAGGGCUAACAGAAAUGGAACUUAGAUGAGCAGCUGGAUGACAUCUCCUCUCCCAGUGACAACUGUGAAAAAGACACAAGUUCCCAAAGUGAGUGAGACAUCACAGGAGACUCACCUUUGUAUCCACCAACACUGGGAAUUCAAGAGCUGCCCUUCCAAGAUGUGCAGACACAGGGAUCUUUAUUGAAGGUAGCUCAGGCUUCUUUGAUGACAUGGAUGUUGAUGAUAAUGCCACUGGAAAGGUCGCCAGUAAUGGAAUGUCCACUGGCAUGAGAUUAGCCUGAGGCAGCCUCGCAACCAGCAUCAGCUUCCUCCUGCAAAUGCCCAGCAGAGGGCUCGGAAUCACCUGGAGAAGUUUCUUCCAGCUCAGCACAUUCCUGGGAACUGUCGUUCUUCACGGUACCUUGAUCAUUAUGGGUGGAAACGGCUUCAUCUGGUGCUGCAUUCGUAGCCUCUGGGGUCAUUUCGGACUCGCCCUCUGUGGGGUCACCCAUCUGUGCACUUGUAACCUUGGGCUCCAUUUCAGCACCCACUGCCGUCACCUCCUCCAGAGGGCCCUCCACACCUGACUCUACGUCCCCAACUGCAGCCUCUGGAAUUUCUUCAGCACCUACCACCUCAGCUUCCAGGACAGAAACUUCCAGAGCUUCUGAACUUGCUUUCUCAGCAUCUGCAACGUUCUCUUUUUCACCUUUAAGAUUUAGUCCAUUAAGCAGAGCGUUAAUUUAAAGAACAUGGGAACACAAUGGUACACUGUGCAAUCAUUUUAAAAAGUGAGUCAGAUCAUCUACAUGUGCUGACAUUUAUUGGUCUUCCAGGUGGACUGUAAAAGGAAAAGCCAAGGAAAGAACAAUGUACACAGUGUGGACAAAGGGGGUGUGUUAGAGAGCUAGGGAGCUGUAUUUGCAAAGACCCUUGCUGGGAUUCAAAGAAUCUGACAUUAGUGGUUGCCUUUUGGGAGGGAAGAUGAGAGAUCUGUUUUCUUAUAAACUCUUUUGAACUUAAAAAAUUGCAUAUAUUACUUAUUCAAAUACUGAUACUAAUAAAUAAGCACCCUAUUCAACCCUCCAUGUGAGAUGGUGUGGAAGAGUAGCCAAGUCACUAGCCUAAGACCCUGUGGAAACCAGUAAUCCUCUCAACCUCAGCUUUUUCUUCUUUAAAAUCAGAAUAUUGAUAAUAUUCACCUCACAGGGCUAUUGUGAAGAUUAACUAAAAUAAUCUGUACAAAAUGGGCCUUCAGGUCAAUGCUGUAUUUGUUAUUAUUACAAACAGACUUCUCAUGUUUCUGUUCAAUAACAUUUAUCGACGAUAUUCUGUUUCUUAUUAUUGUCAUAAUGAAAAGGGUAAACUGAUUCAUGAGCAGCCAGUACCUCUGUCCCUAAAUAGUGACCAUGGUAAUUGAUAAUGGUAUUAUAGUUGAAAUGGAAAAAAAAAAAACUAUGUCUUAAAG